rnacentral:rRNA from 1 species
UACGUAGGUGGCAAGCGUUGUCCGGAUUUACUGGGCGUAACGGGCGUGCAGGCGGUUUGUUAAGUGCAGGGUGAAAGCUCCCGGCUCAACUGGGAGAGGUCCUUGCAUACUGGCGAACUCGAGGGAGGCAGAGGAAAGUGGAAUUCCCGGUGUAGUGGUGAUAUGCGUAGAUAUCGGGAGGAACACCUGUGGCGAAGGCGGCUUUCUGGGCCUUACCUGACGCUGAGACGCGAAAGCGUGGGGAGCGAUCCGG